UGAGCUAGCAGAUGACAUGGACAAAUCUCGGGGAGAAAAAAAAUAAAUAAAAAAGACUGGCAGCAAGACGAAGGAGAUCGAAGUAGGGAGGGCGUCUUUUAUUGCGGCUCUUCCAUUACCCACGAAUGCAGAGUAACACCUCCCGCAUCCUGAAGGCUCCACGUUUGAUUGUUCUCAUAGCUCACUGUGACCGCCACCUGCAGGGACAGUUCGUAGGUCACGGGAGUCGAGAGACAACACCGCUGAUAUCGAUGGAUGUGCAUGACAGAGAGGGAAAGAAGAGCCACCGUGCACCAGAGAACCUUGGCCACCCUCGUUACCUCCCGUGCUCGUCUACCGGCGAUUUCCGUGGCAACAAACCCGCUGAGACAACCAACGUGCGUUAAGCCUGACGUGGAAGACGGGCCGGUCCCUGUUGUCCCAGGUGCGAAGGUGAAAGUCCAUUACGUCCAGCAGCUUCCUCAAGCAAGUCAAGGAAAAUUGAAUUCAGUUCAAAGAAAACCAGGGUGCCGAGCAGCACCGUGGGUAGGACCCCUACAGAAAAAGGGAGCUGGUUUAAACUCUCAGACACAAAGACAGUGCCUACGACUACAUAUUUUCUUAAGCCUGUCCCAAACACUUCCUGUUUAUCGGUUAUCUAAAAGGUCUGCCUGUGUCGACCUUUGCUGUAUUUACGAAAAUGUCACAUUGGAUUUUAUUGCCACGAGUCGAGAUACCGACAGUGUACGGAGCCAAAAUUCAUGUUCGAAUUCAAUUCUUUCUUCUGAAAUGCACGAAUGGAGUUAUUUGCAGAACUUCCUGACCUUCAGUCGGCAACAUUACAUUUGCCCUUUUUGUG